AUCAAUAAGUUAGAAUUCAUUGUUUAGAAGAACUUUGGCAUAUGUCCGGGAUCAAUAAGGUUUAUGUACGGAAAUCUUUAGCAUGCAAUCUAGGGAGUUCAAUUGCUAUCAACUAGAGAGAAGGGUAGGCGUAUUAGGUGGUGGAUUCAAAGCUUUAGCAUCUUUAUAAUCUGUUCUUAAACUCUUAGAAAUUUUAUUGUUCUCUUGUCUUUAAUUUCAGUUUUAUUACUUUAUUUUCUGUUUUCAAUCCAAGCAUCAUAAAAUCAUAUUGUUAUUUCAUUAGGUGUAGUAUAAUUGGCAUAAUAAGUUGUUCUAAUCAAUCCAUAGAGGGAACGACCUCGUGCUUGUACUUCUAUUCUAUAAGUGGUUCGUGCACUUGCGAGUACUAUAUUAAAACAUACAACACAAGGGGCUGGCAAGACCCGUAUAGGGACACCAAGGAGCCGCGUUGACCCGCUUAGCGCAGCCAAGGGGCCGCCUUGUCCCGCCAAGGUGCCACAAAGACGCCGCCUUGACCCGCCUAGGGCGCCAAGGGGCUGCCAUCACCCGUCUAGGGCCACCAAGGGGCCUCCUUGACCAGCCUAGGCCCGCCAUGACCCGCCUAGGCCCGCCCAGGCGCUGCCUUGACCCUCUUAGAACCACGUAGGGGCCGUCUUGACCCGCCUAGGGCCGCCUUGACCCGCUUAGGGCUGCCAAGGCCGCUAUGACCUGCCUAUGGACACCAAGGGGCCGCCAUGACCGGCCUAUGGCUGCCAAGGGGCCACCUAUAGCUGCCAAGACCCAUCUAGGGUCGCUAAGGGCCGCCUUAACCCGCUAAACCCACCUAGGCGCCAUAAAAGGGCCGCCUUGACAUGCCUAGGGCCCUCAAGGGGCCACCUUGACCCGUCUAGGGCCACUAAGUUGUCGCCUUGACCCGCCUAGGGUCGUAAAAGCCGCAUUGACCCGCCUAGGGGCAGCCUUAACCCGUCUAGGGCCGCCAGGGGGCCGCCUUGACCAGUCAAGGGCCACCAAGGGGCUAUCUUGACCCGCCUUGGUCCGCCUUGACCUGCCUAGGCCGCCUUCACCCGUCUUGGUCCGCCUUGACCCUCCUUGGCCACCAAGGGGCCACCUUGGUUCGUCUUGGUCCGUCUUGGCCCGCCAAGGGGCUGCUUUGACCCUCCUAGUACCGCCUUGGGGCCACCUUGACCCGCCUAGGGCCGCUAAAGGUCUUCAUAUUGAGUCGCAUUUUCGGUUUUCAUAUUGACUUUGAAAAAUCAUAUAAAAAAUUGACUCAACAUUUUUGGUUCUGUCAAUUCGUGAAGGACCACCUUAACCCGUCUACGGCCACCAAGAGGCCGCCCUUGACACGCCAAGGGCUUGCCAAGACCCAUCUAGGGCCGUUAAGGGACGCCUUGACCGACCUAGACCCACCUAGACCUGUCUAGGUGUCACAAAGGGGCCGCCUUGACCCGUGUAGGGGCUCCCAAGACUCAUCUAGGGACGCCAAGGGCAGCCAUAACCCGCCUUAACCUGCCUAUGGCCACCAAUGGGCCUCCUCAACCCGUCUAGGGCCGCCAAAGGACCGCCUUGACACGUCUAGGGCCACCAAGGGGCUGCUUUAACCCGCUUAGGGCCGCCUUUUCCCGCCAUGGGCAACAAACGUGCCGCGUUAACCCGCCUUGGCCACCAAGAGGUCGCCUUUACCCAUCUAGGGCCACCAAGGGGCCUCCUUGACCCGCCUAGGCCCGCUUUGACCCUCCUAGGACCGCCUAGGGGCCGCUUGACCCUAUUAGGACUGUCUAGAGGCUGCCUUGACCCGCCUUGGGCCGCCUUGACCAGCCAAGGGGCCGUCUUGACCCGCCAAGGGCCGCAUAGGCCACCUUGAUUCGCCAAGGGCCUGCCAAGACCCGUCUAGAGCCGCCUUCGGCCUCCAUGGGCCUCCUUGACCAGUCUAGACCCGUCUAGGACCGCAUAGGCCACCUUGAUCCGCCUAGGGCUACAAAUACCUGCCUGGCACUUUUAGGGCGGCAAAGGCCGCCUAGACCCACCUUAGGCCGCAAAGUGGUCGCCUUGACCCGUUUAGGGCCAUCAUGGGGCCGCCAUGGACCGCGUUGACCUGUCUAGGGCUGCCUUUUCCCACCAACGGGCCACAAAGGUACUGCAUUGACCCGCCUAAGCCGCCAAGGGGACGCCUUAACCCAUUUAAGGCCGCCUUGACCCGGCUAGACUCGCCUUGGGCCUCCUUGACCCUACUAGGGCCACCAGGAGGCCGCCUUGACCCGUCCAGGGCCACCAAGGGGACGCUUUAUCCUACGAAGGGGUUGUCUUGACCCUCCUAGGCCCGUCUAUAGCCGCCUUGACCCAUAGGGCCCCCAAGAGGCCACCUUGACCCGCCAAGGGGCUGCCUUGACCCGGCUAGGGCAACAAAUGGGGGGCUGUGUUCACCAGUCUAAGGCUGCCAAAGGCCGUCUUGACCCGCCAAAGGGUUGCCUUAACCCUCCUAGACAUGCCUAAGGCCGCUUUAACCCUCCUAGGUUCUCCUAGGCCCGCCUAGGGCCACCAACGGGCUUCCAUGACUCGCCAAGGGGCCGCCAAGGCUCGUCUAGGGCUGCCUUGACCUGCCUAGGGCCCCCAAUGGGCCGCCUUGACCUACCUAGGGCCACCAAUGGGCCGCCUUAACUCGUCUAGGGCUACCAAGGGGCUGCCUUAACCCGCCAAGGGGCUGUCUUGACCCUCCUAGGACCGCCUAGGGGCCGCCUUAACCCGCCUAGUGCGGCCUUCACUCGUCUAGAGCCACCAAGGGGCCUCCUUGACCCGCCUUGGCCCGCCUUGACCUUCCAAGGGGCUACCUUGACCCUCCUAGGACCGCCUAGGGGCCGCCUUAACCCGCCCUGGGCCGCCUUCACUCGUCUUGGGCUGCCUUGACCAGCCUAGACACCCCUUGGGCCUCCAUGGGCCGCCUUGACCCGUCGAGACACUUCUAAGGCGGUAAAGGCUGCUUAGACACUUCUAGGGUGGCAAAGGCUGCCUUGACCCGCCAAGGGCCUGCCAAGACCUGUCUAGGGCCGCCAAGGGCCACCUUAAGCCUCCUUGACCAGCCUAAGGCCACUUAGGGGUCGCCUUGACCCACCUUGACCCGUCUAGGGCCACCAAGGGGCCGCAUUCACCCGUCAAGUGGCCGCCUUAACCUGCCAAGGGGCUGCCUUGACCCUUCUAGGCCCAUCUAGGGCUGUCUUGACCCGUCUUGACCCGCCUUGACCCAUCUAGGGCCACCAAGAGGCCGUCUUGACCCUCCAAGGGGUUGCUUUGACCCUCAUAGGACAGCCAAUAGGCCUCCUUGACCCGGCUAAGGCAGCAAAUAGGGGCUGCGUUCACCCGUCUAAGGCCGGCAAAGGGUCGUCUUGACUAGUCAAAGGGCUGGCUUGACCCUCCUAGACCUGCCUAGGGCUGCUUUGACCUUCCUAGGUUCUCUUAGGCCCGCCUAGGGCCAGCAAAAGGCCGUCAUGACUCUCCAAUGGGUCGCCAUGACCCUCCUAUGCCCGUCUAGGGCUGCCAAGACUGGUCUAGGGCUUCCAAGGGCCGCCUUGACCUGCCUAGGGCCACCAAUGGGCCGCCUUGACUCGUCUAGGGCUACCAAGGUGUCGCCUUGACCCAUCUAGGGCCACUAAGGGGCCGCCUAGGGCCGUCUUUUCCUGCCAAUGGGCCACAAAAAUGCCCCCUUAACCCGCCAAGGGCCCGUCGAGGGUCACCAAGGGCACUCCUUGACCCGCCUAGGCCCUCCUUGACCCGCCAAGGGGCUGCCUUGACCCUCUUAGGACCGUCUUGACCUGCCUAGGGCCGCAGAGGCCGCCUAGACCUGCCAAGGGCCUGCCAAGACCCGUCUAGGGUUGUCAAGGGCAGCCUUCAACAGUCUAGAACCGCCUUGGGACGCAAAUGCCUGCCUAGACACUUCUAGGGCGGCAAAGACCGCCUUGACCCGCCAAGGGCCUGCCAAGACUCGUCUAGGGCCACCAAGGGGCCGCCUUGACUCGCCUUUGGCCGUCAUUGGACGCCUUGACCUGCCUAGAGCUGCCUUUUCUAGCCAAAGGGCCACAAAGGUGCCGCAUUGACCUACCUAGGCUGCCAAGGGGCCGCCUUCACCCGUUUAAGGCCGUCUUGACUCUUCCAGGGCCACCAAGGGGCUGCGUUCACCCGUCAAGGGGCCGCCUUAACCCUCCUUUACCCGCCUUGACCCAUCUAGGGCCACCAAGAGGCCGCCAUGACUCGCCAAGGGGCUGCGUUGACCCUCCUUGGGCCGCCAAUAAGCCGCCUUGACCCAUCUAGGGCCACCAAGGGGCCGCCUUCACCAGUCUAAGGCCGCUAAAGGGCCGUCUUCACCCACCAAUCCUUGAUCCUCUUAGGGUCACCAAAGGGACGCCUUAAUCCGCCUAAGGCCGCCUUCACCCGCCAUGCCUUGAUCCUCUUAGGGUCACCAAAAGGACGCCUUAAUUCGCCUAAGUCCGCCUUGACCCAUGUAGGAACGCCAAGGGGCCGCCUUGACCCAUGUAGGGCCAUCAAGAGGCCGCCUUGACCCGUCUUGGGCCAUUAAGGGGCCGCUAAGGUUCGCCUUCACCCGCCAAGAGGCUACCUUGACCCAUCUAGGGCUCCCUUGACCUGCCAAGGGGCUGCCUUGAACCUCCUAGGCCCGUCUAGGGCCGCCUUGACUCGCCUUAACCCACCUUGAGCCACCUUGACCCACCUUGGUCGCCUAGACCCAUCUAGGGCCACUAAGAGGCCGCCUUGACCCUCUUAGGGCCGCCAAUAGGCCUCCUUGACCCAGCUAGGGCAGCAAAUGGGGCGCUGCGUUCACCCAUCUAAGGCCACAAAGGGACCGUCUUGAUCCGCCAAAGGGCUGCCUUAACCCUCCUAGACCUGCCUAGGGUCGCUUUGACCCCUAGUUUCUCCUAAGCCCGCCUAGGGCCACCAAGGGGCCGCCUUGGCCUGCCUUGACCCGCUUUGACCCGUCUUGGGCCGCCUUGACCCUAUUAGGGCCUCUAAGAGGCCGGCUUGACAUGUCUAAGGCAACCUUGGCCCGCCUUGACUUGGCUAGGGCCACCAAUGGGUCGUCUUGACCCUCCUAGACUCGCCUAGGGACGCCUUGACCCUCUUAUGUCCUCCUAGGCCCGCCUAGGGCCACCAAAGGGCCUCCAUGUCCCAUCUUGGCUCGUCUUAAAUCGCCUUGACCUGCCUAGGGCAGCCAAGGGGCCGCCUGGACCCUCUUAGGACCGCCUUGACCCUCCUAGGGCCACCAAGGGGCCGCCAUGACUCGCUAAGAGCCGCCUUAACACGUCUUGACCCACCAUGACCCGUUAUGACCCACUUGUCCCGCCUUGACCCGCCUUGGCUGGCCUUAAACCGCCUUAACCAGCCUAGGGCCGCCAAAGGGCCGCCUUGACCCUCCAAGACCCGCCUUGACCCUCCUAGGUCCUUUUAGGCUUGCCUAGAGUCACCAAAAGGCCGCCUUGACCCGCCUUGACUUGCCUUGGCCGCCUUAACCUUCCUUGACCCGCCAAGGGGCCGCCCUCACCCAUCUAAGGCCACCAAGGGGCCGCCAAGGGGUCGCCUUCACCCCUCUAAGGCCAUCAAGGGGCCGCCUUGAGCCGCCUUGUUUCGCCUUUGCCCGUCUUGACCCACCAUGACCUCCUUAGCCCGCCUUGACCCACCUAGGGCCGCCAAAAAGCCGCCAUGACCCAUCUAGGACCACCAAGAGGCCGCCUUCACCGGUCUAAGUCCAUCAAUUUACCCAGCUAGGGCCGUCUUGGCCCGUCUUGACACGCCUUGACCUGCCUUAACCUGCCUUGGCCCGUCUUGACCCGUCUUGGCUCGCCUUAGGCCGCCUUGACCCAUCUAGGGCUGCCAAGAGGCUGCCUUGACCCAUCUAUGGCCCCCAAGGGCUCGCCUUGACCAGGCUAGGGUUGCCAAGGGGCUGCCUUGACCCGGGUAGGGUCGCCAAGGGGUUACCUUGACCCGUCUAGGGUCGCCAAGGGGUCGCCUUGACCCGUCUAAAGCCACCAAGGGGUUGCCUUGACCCGACUUCCUAACAUAAAUUGAACCAUUCUAGCUUCCAAAAUCAUUGUCUUUUAUCAAUUUACUCACGAUAGUGCUUACAUAACUCACGUGUGCCGUGUUUUGUAAAAAUCUUGAAAUUGUUGUUUUAAUUGGUAUUGAGUGACUUUUUAAGAUUAUGUUCUCUUCAAUUCUUCUCAUAUUGACAUCGAGAUCCUCAGUUUUCAAAGAGAAUAAGGUAUUGCCCCUCAUUUCAAGUUUCACCCAAUUUGAGUCAAAACCCUUUGUUAUAGCACACGAGUUUCUGACCAGUUUAACUUUUUUUUGGCCUCCGGCUUUUUCCGUUCGGGUGUGAUUACAGACACCUCCUAAAAUAUAACGAACCACUCUAGCUUCAAAAAUCAUUGUCUUUUAUCAAUUUACUCACGAUCGUGCUUAAAUGACUCACGUGUACCGUGUUUUGUAAAAAUUUUGAAAUUGUUGUUUUAAUUGGUAUUUAGUGACCUUUUAAGAUUAUGUUAUCUUCAAUUCUUCUCAUAUUGACAUCAAGAUCCUCAGUUUUCAAAGAAAUAAGGUAUUGCCUCUCAUUUCAAGUUUCACGCAAUUCGAGCCAAAACCUCUUGCUGUAGCACACGAGUUUCUAGUCAUUUUCAUUUUUUUUUUGCCUCCACCUUUUUUCGUUCGGAUGUGCUUACAGACACGUCCUAACAUAUAUUGAACCAUUCUAGUUUCAAAAAUCCUUGUCUUUUAUCAAUUUACUCACGAUCGUGCUUAAAUGACUCAUGUGUGUCGUGUUUUGUAAAAAUCUUGAAAUUGUUGUUUUAAUUGGUAUUGAGUGACUUUUUAAGAUUAUGUUCUCCUUAAUUCUUCUCAUAUUUACCCGCCUUGACCCUCCUAGACCCACCAAGGGGCCGCCAUGACUUGCCAAUGAGUUGCCAUGACCCUCCUAGGCAUGUCUAGGGCCACCAAGGGGCAACCUUGGCCCGUCUAACGCCGUCUUGACCCCUCUUAUGCUGCCAUGACCCUCCUUGGCCCGUCUAGAGCCGCCAAGGGCAGCCAAGGUGCCGCCUUGACCUGUCUUAACCCGCCUUGGACCGCCUUGGCAUGCCUUGACUAUAUUAGGGACGCCAAGAGGCCGCCUUGACCCGUCUAGGGCAACCAAGGGCUGUUUUGACCCGGCUAGGGCCACCAAGGGGCCGCCAUGACUUGCUAAGAGGUGGCCAUGACCCUUUUAGGCCAGUCUAAGGGCCGCCUUGACCCAGCUAGACCCGCCUUGGGCAGCCUUGACCCUUCUAGGCCCGCCUAGGGCCACCAAGAGGCCGCCUUAACUUGCCAAGGGGUUGACAUGACCCUCCUAGGUGCGUCUAGGGUCGCCUAGGCUAGCCAAGGGGCCGCCUUGACCCGCCAUGGCCCGUCUAGGGCUGCCUAUACCAGCCAUAGGGCCGCUAAGCGAACGCCUUGACCCGCCUUGGAUCGCCUUGGCCUACCUUAAUCCGCCUUAGGCCGCCUUGACCCUAUUAGGGCCGCCAAGAGGCCGCCUUAACCCGUCUCGGGCAACCAACGGCCGCUUGACCCGGCUAGGACCGCCUUGUUCCUCCUUGACCCUCCUAGACUCGCGUAAGGCCGCCUUGACCAUCCUAGGUUCUCUUAGGCCCGCCUAGGGCCACCAAAGGGCCGUGUUCACCCAUCAAGGGGCUGCCUUGACCUGCAAGGGGCUGCCUUAACUCUCCUAGACCCAUCUAGGACCGCCUUGACCCGCCAUGGCUUGCCUUGACCAACCUCGACCCGCCUUGACUCGCCAUGACCCGCCUUAACCCUCCUAGGGCCGCCAAUAGGCCGCCUUGACCAUGCUAGAGCAGCAAAUGGGGGGCUGCAUUCACCCGUCUAAGGCCGCCAUAGGGCCGUCUUGACCCGCCAAGGGGCCGUCUUAACUCGCCAAGCGGUCGCCAUGACCCUCCGAAGCCCAUCUAGGGCCGCCAAUGGGCCGUCUUGACCCGCCUAGAGCCGCUAAGGGGUCUCCUUCACCCGUCUAAGGCCGCUAAGGGGCCGUCUUCACCCGCCAAGGGGCUACCUUGAUCCUCUUAGGGCCGCCAAGGGGACGCCUUAACCCGCCUAGGGUCGCCAUGGGGACGCCUUGACCCGCCUAGGGCCGCCUUAACCCAUGUAGGGACGCCAAGGGGCCGCCUAGGUUUGCCUUGACCCAUGUAAGGCCACCAAGGGGCCGCCUAGGUUCGCCUUGACCCGUGUAGGGCCAUCAAGGGGCCGCCUUGACCUGCCUAGGGCUGCCAAGAGGCCGCUUUGACUCGUCUUGGGCCACCAAGGGGACGCCUUAACUCGCCAAGCACUGGUAAAGGGCCGCCUUAACCCGUCUAAGGCCGCUAAGGGGUCGCCUUCACCCGCCAAGAGGCUACCUUGCCCGCCUAUGGCCACCAUGGGGCCGCCUAGAGCCCCCUUUGACUCGCCAAGGGGCUGCCUUAACCCUCCUAGGGUCGUCUAACCCUAUAAGGGGCCGCCUAGACCUUCUUGGAACCCGCGUAGGGACUGCCUAGACCCGCUUAUGGGUAGCCUAGACCCGCCAAGGGGCUAGCGAGACCCGCCUUGACCCACCAAGGGCCGCUUUGACCCACUAUAGGGCCGCCUUGACCCGCGUUGACCCGUCGAGGGUCGCUUUGACCCACCCUGACCUACUAAGGGACCGCCUUGACCCGCCUUAAGCUGCCAAAGGACCGCCUUGACCCAUCUUGACAAGCCAAGAGGCCACUUUGACUCGCCAUGACAUGCCAAGGGAUCGUCUUGGCCCUCCUAAACCCACGUAUAGACCACCUAGACCCGUUUAGGGAAUACCUAAACCUGCUUAGGAACCACCUAAACCCUCUUAGAGGCCGUUUAGGGCCACAAUGGGGUUGUCGAGUCCUACUUAGGGCCGCCAACGAGGCGCUUUGACCCGCUUAGGGUCAUUAAUACCCUCCUAGACCUACUUAGAACCCGCGUAGGGACCGCUUAGACCCACUUAGGGUUAGUCAGCACCAGUCAAGGGGCUGUCGAGACCCGCCUAAGGCCGCUAAUGGGCCGCCUUUAGCCGCCGAGGGCCGCGAAGGGAUAGCUUUAACCCGCCUUAACCUGCCAAGGGACCGCCUUAACCCGCUUUAACAUGCCAAAGGGCUGCUUUAACCCGCCUUGACCUGCUAAGGGACUGCCUUGGCCCUCCUAGACCUACAUAGGGACAACCUAGACCCACUAAAGGUCGCUAGGGCGGCGCCUUAACCAGCUUAGGGUCGUAAAGACCCGCCUAAACCUAUUUAGAACCCGCGUAGGGAUUGCCUAGACCCGCUUUGGGGUAGCCUAGACCCGCCAAGGGGCUGUAGAGACCCGCAUAGGGUUGUUAUCCUUUACCCGCCAACGGGCCGCUUCGACCCGCCUAGACAAGCCAAGGGGCCGCUUUGAACCGCCAUGACAUGCCAAACGACCACCUUAACCCGCCUUGACAUACCAAGGGGCCGCUUUGACUCGCCUUGACUUGCUAAGGGACCACCUUAGUCCUCAUAAACCCACGUAAGGACAAACUAGACCCACUAAGGGCCGCCAAGGCGGCGCCUUAACCCGCUUCGGACCGUCAAGACCCGCCUAGACCUGCUUAGAACCCGCGUAUGGACCUCCUAGACCCGCUUAGGGGUAGCCUACACCCGAAAAGGGGCAGCCGAGACCCGCCUAGCGCCGCCUUGAUCUGCCAAGGGACUGCCUUGACUCGCCUUGACAAUCCAAGGGGCCGCUUUGACCCGUCUUGACUUGCCAAGAACCGCCUUGGUCCUCCUAAACCCACGUAGGGACAACCUAGACCCACUAAGGGCCACCAAGGCAGUGCCUUAACCCGCUUCAGGCUGUCAAGACCCACCUAUACCUGCUUAGAACCCGCGUAUGUGAUAGGAGCACAAAGUGUGAUGUUCUUAAUAUGUUUAUACCCUUUAUUUACCCUUUGCUAACUCCUAUUUAGUUGUUUUAGCUUUAUAUUUGUGUUUAGUGUAGAAUAAUUGCUUAAUUUAGAAAUAUGUAGUUUUUAGUAUUAGAAUACAUAGUAUUUUCGGUUUUGAAUAAUUUGGUGUUGAAAUUGUGUUAAGUGUUGGAAACCCUUGUUUACUCAGGAUUCCUGUCUUGAUCAAGAUUCCAUCUUUCCUUGAAGCCUAGUCCAUGAAGGAGAGGUCCAAACCAAGUCCAAUAUGGAGAAGAAGAUCUAAAUUCGGCAGAAUUUCAAGAAUAUCCAAGNNNN
rnacentral:lncRNA from 1 species